UUCUGUUGUCAGCUCUGGGAGGAAUGUAUUUCUGGUAGUUAGAGCUCAAGAAUGGGAGUGAGGAUCCAUGGAUUUGUCAAGAACAAACAGGGCCAAACCAACCAAAUUUCCUUCUUUGACAGGGUUACUGGCCUAGUGGCAAGGGGAGAAGCGGUAGAUUCUGAUUUUGACGCAGUCGCAACAUGACAUCCUCAUAAGCAAACUAGAGCAACGUGGUGUGGAUGAAAUUACCAUAAGGAAGGACAAGCAAGAUGGAGAAAGGCUACCUGGCUCUCCCAAGGCAACAGAGGCAUAAGAAUCAGAGCUGGGAUUAGAACUCCACAGUCCCGAGAUCCCAGCCCUACACUCAGACUCCAAAGAAAUGAAGAGAAUUUUUUUCCUCGCUGAGAGGUGAAAGCAAGGCCGGCUUAACUGCUUGGAUGCUGAUGAAUGUCGUAGGUAUGUUUAGGCUGAAUGCACCUGGCGCG